GGAUAAAAACUCAGCAGGAAAGGGAUAUGAAGCAUUGGGGUUGGGAGAAAGGGGAAGGGAGAGCCAGCCAAAGGGAAAUACAGGAAUGGGAAAAGUUUUGAAAGAGGGCAGUAUGCUGCACUUUCUGAUUAAUUUGGCAAAAGAAUGGGAAGCUUCUUAAUUAGCUCAGCCCCAGAACCUGCCUUGUCCUUCAUGGAAAACCUCUGUGCUUGAGUCCCCUCCUGAGGCAGCACAUCCCAGGUCCAUGCACAGCCCGGAGGAGCUGCAGGUCUGCUCUGCAUCCUUGCUGGGAGCUGGUCUCAGGAAUGGUGGGAGCUCUCCUCUCACUCGUUCUCAGUUUGUCAACAUCUCUGUGUGCAGAGAAAGGAGCAUUUCUCACUAAUGACCCGGGCUGAGUGAUGGGGGAGUGGGAGUCACUGCUGAGGAUGAGCUGGCCGUGUAUUACAAGCUUUGUCUCCUCUUGCUUCCAGUGACUCACUCAGAUCCUCCUCUGAGAAGGAAUCACUUUGCAGCAUGCAGCAUUUGGGAGGAAAGCCACGGAAAAAGCUGCAAAACAAAGGCCUCAACAUCAGACCUGCUCUCAGGACCCUCAGCCACCAACAGCCAGAUCCACCACCUGAAGGAAAGACUGGCACAGCAGUCCCUGCUGCUGUUGCUGAGAUUCCUUCUCGGUGUCCAAGAGCUUUCCCAGGGGAAAAGACAGUGCUGCAGGAAGACAGAGGGCAAACCACGCACCAAAGAGCCUCCCAUGCAGUGCAAUGCAAACAUUCAAGGUGCUGAGAGCCAGAAUGAAACUGGGAAGCUGCUUCCAGCAGGACAAAGAAAAGCCUGAGCUGGUCCAGGUACUCCAAGCACAGAAGAAAGUGCUGAGAAUGGAAAGAAAGGCCAGAACAGAAGAACCAAGUCCAGGCUUUGGGGACAGCAGGGAUGCUGACUUUCUGUGGAGAGGAUUCUGCACCUCUGCAGUCUGGGGCCGCUGGGACUCACCUAAAGAACUCUUCACUAGAAAAUGAUCCUCACUGAAAAAAAACCUGUCCUGAUUAACUUUGCCAAGGGGCUGAUCCUGCCUUGGCUACGAACCCUCCCGCUGGCCGUGCUGUAACUCACCUCUCCUGAGUCGUUUCAUGCGGGUAUCCGUUCCAAACCUCAAAGGGCUCCCGGAGUUUGGAGAAGCAUCCCACGGUCCAGAUGCUUGUCUGAACUGUUGGAGCCUGCACAUCUGGGCCAGCUGUCUUGCCAGCAAGGAGCCUUGUGAGACAGCAGGCGCUCUCUGGGUCUGCAUGGGCCAGAGUUACCGCAAGAACUGGGGUUCUUGUGCUGGCUUUGGAGUGACUGUUUCCAUCCAGACCCAGGGAGCCCAAAAAGAGCUCGAGUGAGCUGGACAAGACAGUUUUGGUUCAUCUCUCAGCCGAAGAGGUCCAGUUGGUUCCUCUCUCUUCCAGAGCCAACUGUCCUGCGUGUGGGUGUGGGUGUGGGUGUGUCAGUGGGGGUUGGGGGUGGGGGGAGUGUGUGUGUGUGUGUUGAGCAAAAAAAAUCCACAUUACUUAAAUUCUGUGGUGUUUUGUUGCAUUUGAAUUAAGCCAGAGGGACCUAAGGCACAUUCCAACAAGGCUCAGCAAAAAUGUCCAGGACUGGAAAAUUCCAUAAAACCAUGUAAAGGCAGAUUCCCGGGCAUCAUCUUAAGGUCUAAAUGAUAUUUGAUUUUGAGGUGCUUCAUUUCCACAGUCUCUUCCAAGGGACUAGACUGCCUCAAUAGGCAUUUUAUUUUUCCUGCUUUUUUUAGGGAAUUAGCCUGUCUGUGCUACUUGGUCAUUUGGUCCUGAGUUUUUUUUACAUUUUCAGCUGGCUUUUUGGAGUGUGCAGAACUGAAUUUCCUGGGCUGAUUUGAUUUCAAUUGUUGCUCCCAGCAAAUUGGAGCUUUACUUGUAGCACCCUGGUUUUUAUUGCCAGCCUCUCCAGGAAGGACUGGUAGUUUAUUUUCCUGGGGCAGAGUCACGUGAAUGAGAAGUGUGGAUGUGUUGUACCUCUGGAACUUUAGCAGAUUUCAACCACUGCAUUUUUUUUCCCUUCCUCCUUAGGCGAUUUUGCAUUUACUGAUGAAACUACUUUAGAGUUUUUAUUUUUACUAGAGAUAUUAUUAAUUCAAGCAACCUCGUGCAAAAGGCAAACGCGUCGAAUCGCUGCAGGUUGUAGGGGUUGAAGCCAAAAGGUCUUUGUAAGCCGACAUCACCUGCCCUGGAUCCGACUGGAUCAGGCAGUUUAUUCCUCAUGUGUCAUGUUGGAGUUACAAGAUCACCCCAAGCCACUAGAGCCUGUCAGUAGAGUAGUGCUACACUUGAUUUGCUAUUGUAGCAAAGCCUUUUGUAGAUUUAUACAAUAAAACUUUGAAAUAUCUGCU
ensembl:lncRNA